GAGUUUGAUCAUGGCUCAGGAUGAACGCUAGCUACAGGCUUAACACAUGCAAGUCGAGGGGCAGCAUGAAAGUUUGCUUGCAAACUUUUGAUGGCGACCGGCGCACGGGUGAGUAACACGUAUCCAACCUGCCUCAUACUCGGGGAUAGCCUUUCGAAAGAAAGAUUAAUACCCGAUGUCAUAGUCCUACCGCAUGAUGGGAUUAUUAAAGAAUUUCGGUAUGGGAUGGGGAUGCGUUCCAUUAGUUAGUUGGCGGGUAACGCCCACCAAGACAACGAUGGAUAGGGGUUCUGAGAGGAAGGUCCCCCCACAUUGGAACUGAGACACGGUCCAAACUCCUACGGGAGGCAGCAGUGAGGAAUAUUGGUCAAUGGACGAGAGUCUGAACCAGCCAAGUAGCGUGAAGG
rnacentral:rRNA from 1 species